UACGAGGGGGGCGAGCGUUGUUCGGAAUUAUUGGGCGUAAAGGGUACGUAGGCGGUUUGGUAAGUCUGAUGUGAAAUCUAUGGGCUCAACUCAUAGUCUGCAUCGGAAACUGCCGGGCUUGAGUGUGGGAGAGGUGAGUGGAAUUCCUGGUGUAGCGGUGAAAUGCGUAGAUAUCAGGAGGAACACCUGUGGCGAAAGCGGCUCACUGGACCAUAACUGACGCUGAUGCACGAAAGCUAGGGGAGCAAACAGG
rnacentral:rRNA from 1 species